rnacentral:rRNA from 1 species
AUGAACGCUGGCGGCGUGCCUCAUACAUGCAAGUCGCGCGAACAGACGAGGAGCUUGCUCCUCUGACGUUAGCGGCGGACGGGUGAGUAACACGUGGCUAACCUACCUAUAAGACUGGGAUAACUUCGGGAAACCGUAGCUAAUACCGGAUAAUAUAUUUAACCGCAUGGUUCAAUAGUAAAAGACGGUUUUGCUGUCACUUAUCGAUGGAUCCGCCCCUCAUUAGCUAGUUGGUAAGGUAACCGCUUACUAAGGCAACGAUGCGAAGCCGACCUGAGAGGAUGAUCGGCAACACUAGGACUGAGAAGCGGUCAAAGGUCCUGCGGGAGACGGCAGUAGGGAAUCUGCAGAAAUGGGCGAAAGCAUGACGAAGCAACGCGGCGAAGGUGAUGAAAGUCAUCGUGUUGUAAAACUCUAUUAUUAGGAAGGAAGAAAUGUGGAAUGAACUAAGCACGUCUUGACGGUACCGGAUCAGAAAGGCACGGGUAACAACGUG